rnacentral:misc_RNA from 1 species
GAUGAAGAACGUAGCGAAAUGCGAUAAGUAAUGUGAAUUGCAGAAUUCAGUGAAUCAUCGAAUCUUUGAACGCACAUUGCGCCCUCUGGUAUUCCGGGGGGCAUGCCUGUUCGAGCGUCAUUAUAACCACUCAAGCUCUCGCUUGGUAUUGGGGUUCGCGGUUUCGCGGCCCCUAAAAUCAGUGGCGGUGCCUGUCGGCUCUACGCGUAGUAAUACUUCUCGCGAUUGAGUUCGAUAGGUCUACUUGCCAGUAACCCCCAAUUUUUUUAGGUUGACCUCGGAUCAGGUAGGGAUACCCGCUGAACUUAAGCAUAUCAAUAAGCGGAGGA